CCUACGGGAGGCAGCAGUAGGGAAUAUUGGGCAAUGGGCGAGAGCCUGACCCAGCCAUGCCGCGUGCAGGAUGAAGGCCUUCUGGGUUGUAAACUGCUUUUGAUCGGGAACAAACCGUCCAUGCGUGGAUAUUUGAGUGUACCGAUAGAAUAAGCACCGGCUAACUCCGUGCCAGCAGCCGCGGUAAUACGGAGGGUGCAAGCGUUGUCCGGAUUUAUUGGGUUUAAAGGGUGCGUAGGCGGCCCUGUAAGUCAGUGGUGAAAUACUGCAGCUUAACUGUAGCAUUGCCAUUGAUACUGUAGGGCUUGAGUACAGAUGAGGUAGGCGGAAUUGAUGGUGUAGCGGUGAAAUGCAUAGAUACCAUCAAGAACACCGAUUGCGAAGGCAGCUUACUAAGCUGUAACUGACGCUGAGGCACGAAAGCGUGGGGAUCGAACAGGAUUGGAUACCCUGGUAGUCCACGCCGUAAACGAUGAUUACUCGAUGUCGUCGAUAUACAGUGAGCGUCCGACGACGAAACGACGUUAAGUUAAGUACCGUUACCGUUACGGGGUAGGUUACGGUUCGUCGCGAGGAGGUAGGUUAAACGUUAAAGUUAGUUAAGUUAGUUACGGACGUUGGAGACGUUGCCGACGGACGACGACGAGGGAGGUAGG
rnacentral:rRNA from 1 species